rnacentral:rRNA from 1 species
GAUGAACGCUAGCGGGAGGCCUAACACAUGCAAGCCGAGCGGUAGAGGUUCUUCGGGAACUUGAGAGCGGCUCACGGGUGCGUAACACGUGUGCAACCUACCUUUAUCUGGGGGAUAGCCUUUCGAAAGAAAGAUUAAUACCCCAUAAUAUAAUGAUUGGCAUCAAUUAUUAUUAAAAACUACGGUGGAUAGGGAUGGGCGCGCGCACGAUCAGCUAGUUGGUGAGGUAACGGCUCACCAAGGAAUCGACCGGUAGGCGGCCUGAGAGGGAGAUCGGCCACACUGGGACUGAGACACGGCCCAGACUCCUACGGGAGGCAGCAGUGGGGAAUAUUGCACAAUGGGCGAAAGCCUGAUGCAGCAACGCCGCGUGAGGGACGACGGCCUUCGGGUUGUAAACCUCUUUUAGCAGGGAAGAAGCGAAAGUGACGGUACCUGAAGAAAAAGCGCCGGCUAACUACGUG